GGGGUUGUGGCUCAGAGGUAGAGCACUUGCCUACCAUGCGUGAGGCACCAGGUUCAAUCCUCAGCACCA
rfam:Ictidomys tridecemlineatus contig013590, whole genome shotgun sequence.